GAAUGUUCUCAGGGCGGGGCGCAAUUCCCCACCGGCGGUAAUCGCGUGUACACGCGUAGCCCGCGAGCGCUUGCUGCGCCUCUCCUGGCAGCAAGGUCAGCAGACCUGGUGUGACUCCAGGGCCGACGGUAACAGUCCGGAUGAGAGAGCAGGAUU
rfam:Burkholderia sp. ST111 contig_73, whole genome shotgun sequence.